GUAAAUCUAGGAAAUUACAUAACCUUCGCAUGCUACAUGUAGCAGGAAAUUACUCUAAAAUAUUGAGGUAGUUCCAAUGUAAAAUCUAGGGUAAUUUCCAGAAACAUUCAGUAGCAGAAACUAAUGACAAUGCAAGUAAAAACGGAUGACACUGAAAAUACCCAAGAGUUACACUGAAAGUGACCAAGAUUUACAGUGUAAAUCCCCCUAUAAAUUACAUAGUACAUACACAGUAAUUACACUGCAAGCACACAAGGAAUUACACUUGUAAAAACUGAUGAGACUACACUAAAUUACAGUGUAAAUGAGCAGGAAUUACAGUGUGAAACCCAAGAAUCCAAAGCUUGUAAUUACAGUGCAAGUGACCAAGAAUUACAUUGUAAAACCUCUAUAAAAUACAUUAUACAUACAAUGUAAUUACACAGCAAGUACCCAUGGCUUACACUGUAAUACCCAAGCUUUACGAUGAAAGUGCUUACAGUGCAAUACCCUCGAAGAAUACAGAAAAAAUACACAGGGAAUUAGAAUGAAAUUAUGCAGGGAUUUGCAGUGAUGAAGCUAUGCGGUAAAACCCCAAUAAAUUACAAUAAAACUUCAGAGCUACUUCACUAUAAUUUACAGUGUUAGUUCCGAGGAUACACUUGGAAUACCCCAACUAUUGGAAGCAAAAAUACAUAAAGUACAACUGUUUAAGUACCCAGCAAAAUUCAUCUAUAUCUAAACGGUUUGUUGCUCAAUAUUAUGUUGAUACUGGCAUUUUUUGUUCAAAUAUGCCAGAUGAGGAGCAUGAUAAAGACAGCAACUGAAGAUGAUCUAUUGAGAUUGUCUCAGGAAGAACUCAUUCUAAAUGUGAGUUACACAUUUGUUUCAGAAUAUGUUGAAAGACACUAUAGGAACAUUCUAAAUACAUAAAUAAUAAUAAAAGCUCACAACAAAUAUGUCGCAGGACACAUUUUCUAUCACCGCACUUCUACAUUCCGAUAUUAUAUUCAGUAAAAGCAAAAUUCAAAUACCACAGAGCUACCAAUCUGAGAAAAGCACAACUAUAGAAAACAAAUUGCCCUUUUGCUUGCAGGUACACUCAGGAGAUGGGCCUAUGAACAUGGAAGCAGAUGAUAAUUUCCUUUCAAGCAUUUUACGUUCUGAAAUGACAAAAACACAAGGGCCACCCAAAGAAAAUACACAAAACAAAAUCAAAAUAGUACAAGAAAAGGAAAACACACUUGAUUCAAAUAGAACUUCAAAAGAGAUUUGUCAAACCCUCCUUCAUCACCAGAUAGUUCCUGCAAAAAUAUAUUAAAAACUCAACAGACUAAAAUUAAAUAAAACAACCUCAAUAACUAAGAACAAUAAAAUAAAGCUAGAUAAGAAGAAAGAAAUAACUACCGUAGACAUAGGAUAAGAACCAUCUUCCGCAAAGUCGUUAGGCACAAUAGGUUCACCCACAGAAUCUGCAUUGUCAAGAGAUGAUACUAACCAAACGUCCAGAUGAGAGACUUUCUGUAGCCUACUCAUUAAAGUAAAACAUAUAAACAGAAUACAUGAAGGAGGAAAAAGAAAAGAAGUAAAAUAGUAGAACAAAAUCUCCAUACACUUCAUUAAAGAAUACACAUGAACAGCUAAUGUAACACUAUUUACUAGACAAAUCUAGAAAGAACACAAAAACAAUCAUCAACCUAAAACAGGACCUCUGCUCAAUACUACUGCAACGGAGACACACUAGCACAAGAAAAGAAGAAAAUAAAAAAGCAAGAAAAUACAUGAAUUGCAGUCCUAAAAGCAUGCUAAUUACACAGCAAAAUCAGAGGUAAAUCAACUGUGACAAAUACGUUGUAAGCCGUACAACAAUUACAAUGUUGAAGCAUUCAAAUUACAGUGUAAAUCUGCAGUAAAUUACAGUGUAAGCCCUCCAAUUCAAAGGUAAAAUCCACUGUAAUCUACCUCGCAAAUACCUACAACAAAUACAAUGUCGAACCAUACAAAUUAUAGUGUAAAACUAUGGCAUACUACAGUGUAAGCCCAGACGAAGAAGCCAAUGUAAUCUAUCUGAAGCAUAUAACAAUUACAGUUCUGAAGCAUAUAAAUUACAGAGAAAAUCUAGGGUAUAUUACAGUGAUGAAACAUUUGAAAGUAAUCUAUCUGACAAAAACUGAAAGCCCUACAACAAUUACAGUGCUGUACCAUGCAAAUUACAGUGUAAAACUGGGAACCAUGCAAUAAUUACAGUCCUGAAGCAUACAAAAUACAGUGAAAAUCUGGGGUAUAUUACACUGUAAAUCUGGGGUUAGUAAACGAAAAUGCAAUUGUAGGCAUAUACAGUGCCAUCUGGGCUAGAAUACACUAUAAUUUUAGGGUACAUUACACUGUAAUUAGAAUAAAGAAGCAUGGGGAUCACACUCCAAUUAUGGGAUACAUUACACUGUAAUUCUGAGGUAUAUUGCACUGACAAAAAUAAGAAAAAUCCAUGGACUAACACUACAUCAGCACUGCAGGCCUAGUACACACUAAUUCAUUGAGAUUCAGGAACCAGGGAAACUGAACACCUACAUCUAACAAGAAAAAUUCAUGAGGGAUUCAGAAACUACAAGAGCAAACAUGUGCAGGUAAGACACAUAAGGAGCCAACAAUUCAGAAACCAUAAUAGAGCAGGAAACUUAAACAAAUAGCACCUACAUCUACAUCACAAAGGGCCGGGCCAAAAUCAAACUAGGAAGGGCAAACAAAUUCAGAGGAAGGAUACACAAAUUAGCUACUACAUCCACAUUGCAUAAGCCAGCAGAAUCCCAGGCCAAGCCAUAUACAACUACAUCUACCGAUAAAAAUGCAGGCGGAAUAGACACCCAGGCCUGCAGAAAUAAAAUGGACAGGGGAAUCCACCACUACAACUACAACUUCGCCUACCUCUACAUCUACAGCAGAGGAAACAAAUCAGCAGGGGUGAAAACGACCACAACGACCAGAUGACCUAGAACACCCGAUGACUUACAGAACAAAUCACCCAUCUCAGGCAAGUAGAAGGGGAGCAAAAUGGCGGACUACAACAUGGCCGCAACAUGCACCUGCCACGGAUCCAAACAAGAAACUCAUCCUAGAUUUUGAAGCUACACAGCCACAACACAAGCAAAAUCAUACCGGGGAGGGCGAGAGACAAGAACAACCGACCGCGGCAGCCAGGGAUCAAAGAGAAAGGGAAGAGAAAUCAAGAUCGAGCGGUGGAAUAUCUCGGAAUCGACAUGAACAGAAGGAAUUGCCUCCUCUGCUCCGCCACUCGAACUCUUUCUCUCUCCCCUCGGCAUUAUCUAAACAGAGCCACCAAAUGAAAGAGGAAACGACACCCACUCCUAAAUACAAAAAGGAAAAAAAAUCAAUAGUGUCGGGCCAGGGCGACGGUAACGGGCUGAGACACAAAACCGC
rnacentral:lncRNA from 1 species